rnacentral:rRNA from 1 species
CCUACGGGAGGCAGCAGUGGGGAAUAUUGCACAAUGGGGGGAACCCUGAUGCAGCGACGCCGCGUGGGUGAAGGAGUAUUUCGGUAUGUAAAGCCCUAUCAGCAGGGAAGAACAAUGACGGUACUUGACUAAGAAGCAUUGGCUAAAUACGUGCAAGCAGCCGCGGUAAUACGUAGGGUGCAAGCGUUAUCCGGAUUUACGGGGUGUAAAGUGAGCGCAGGUGGCGCGUUAAGCCUGGUGUGAAAGCCCGCGGCGCAACCGCGGGACUGCAUUGGGAACUGGCGCGCUGGAGUGCCGGAGGGGUGUGUGGAAUUCCUAGUGUAGCGGUGAAAUGCGUAGAUAUUAGGAGGAACACCAGUGGCGAAGGCGACCUACUGGACGGUGACUGACGCUGAGGCUCGAAAGCGUGGGGAGCAAACAGGAUUAGAUACCCCGGUAGUC